AUACGUAGGUGGCAAGCGUUGUCCGGAAUUACUGGGUGUAAAGGGAGCGCAGGCGGGCGUGCAAGUCAGCUGUGAAAUCCAUGGGCUUAACCCGUGGGCUGCAGUUGAAACUGUAUGUCUUGAGGGAAGUAGAGGUAGGCGGAAUUCCGAGUGUAGCGGUAAAAUGCGUAGACAUUCGGAGGAACACCGGUGGCGAAGGCGGCCUACUAGGCUUUAACUGACGCUGAGGCUCGAAAGUGUGGGGAGCAAACAGGAUUAGAUACCCUGGUAGUCCACACUGUAAACGAUGAUUGCUAGGUGUGGGGGGUCUGACCCCUUCCGUGCCGCAGUUAACGCAAUAAGCAAUCCACCUGGGGAGUACGGCCGCAAGGCUAAAACUCAAAGGAAUUGACGGGG
rnacentral:rRNA from 1 species